CGACCCGGUAAGGCAUUUCCAUUGUUUUGCUAACUGAGGUCUGCAGCCAUGGCAGUUGCUUUGUCUCCUUUUUGCUUGAUUUUAUCUCACAGAUCUGAGCCUCAAGAAAAAGACCCGUUUCUGUUUUUGCAAGUAAUUACUUGUGAACCCCUUUUUGAUAGGUUAACUCAUAAUGAGGCUGCAGAGACAGUAAUGGGAUUUCUAUUUAAGGGUGGUUGCCCUUCUCUCUGCUUUGCCUAUGAUUCUUCCAUUUUUGAACAAACCAACAGCCCUUAAAAAAGAGAAAGAGAGAAAGAUGAAGUACACACUAGUUUCUGUUGUUUUCUUUCUUCCGGUCAUUUAGGUUCUGGACUGUGAUUUUCUUGAGCUGAGGCCUGUUGGAAACAACUUCUCUAGUCCCCCACAAAGGACCGGGGUAAGGUCUAUGUACCCUUGCUAGCUUUUAAUUAUAGGAUGAGGCUGUGAUGAUAACAAAUGAAGUUGUAUAGAGUUGGGUUGGGCAUUGGAGCUGCACGUAUCUUGGCGGGGCAACCCAGUAAGGUAUUCCAUUUUGCAACUGAGGUCUGCUGCCAUGGCGAUUGAUUUGUCUCCUUUUGCCUGGUUUUAUAACAAAUCUGAGCCUCAGGAGAAAGAAUUAGCCGAAAGAUGCUUGAAGUCUUGUGAUUUCCCUUUUGUUAGGUUAGCCUAAAAACGGCAAGAAUGAGGCAGCAGAGAGUAUGGGAUUUCUAUCAAGGGUGGUUGCCCUUCUCUUUAUGCUUUACUUAUGAUUCUCCAUUUCUCAAAACAAACCAACAGCCCUUUAAAAAGAAAGAGACAGAGAGAGUACAAUUGAGUUUCUGGGUUUCUUUGCAUUUUGCACCCUUAAACGUAUGCUCAUAAGGCAAUACGCACAACUAUACUACAACAACAACAACAAUAAAAUGACUAUGAAAACUAUUAAAGAGGCAGUGAUGAUUUCUGGGCUAACCAAAUUCCGGGCAUGGAGAUUAUCCAACCUGUAUCUUGGCGUGACAACCCGGUUUGGCCUGUAAUUGAGACGCAUAACUCACACAUGCAAUCGUGUGUUGCAGCCAUGGCAUGGUUGGCUUCUCUUUU